UACGGGGGGGCAAGCGUUGUUCGGAAUUACUGGGCGUAAAGGGCUCGUAGGCGGCCGACUAAGUCAGACGUGAAAUCCCUCGGCUUAACCGGGGAACUGCGUCUGAUACUGGACGGCUGAGUUCGGGAGAGGGAUGCGGAAUUCCAGGUGUAGCGGUGAAAAUGCGUAGAUAUCGGAGGAACACCGGUGGCGAAGGCGGCAUCCUGGACCGACACUGACGCUGACUGAGCGAAAGCCAGGGGAGCCAAGCGGGG
rnacentral:rRNA from 1 species